AUUGGAUUCCAGCUGAAUCACGCGCUGCGGCGCCCCCUGGCAGCUCCAUGUGCUGCUCUCGCCUGGAGUUGGAUGGUGGCCAUUUUGUUAUCAAAAGCUAUGGGCAAACAUGACGCAGAAAACGGACCGAUUUCUCCUGCACAAAUAAUCUUUCAGGAAAACUGAACAUUCGCUAUCUAACUGAGAGUCUCCUCAUUGAAAACAUCCGAAGUUCUUCAAAGAUUGAAUAGAGCCCAAACAAGAGAGAACAGCUAAAACGUAUGUGUUUCAAGGUGCAAGAAGUGAUCCAGAGACAAUCUGACGUAACAUAAUGAUGAGAUGGAACAAAAGGUGGUGAUUUUGCUUUUUAUCUGAUAAACUCUUUAACUGAUUGGAGCAACAACAACUUCAACAAUUAAAUCAUCCUGGUCAAUCAAGAACUUCUGAAAUUAAACAAUAUUUGCACCUACCACAUAGUACAGUAUGUAUACGCCUCUUGAGUCCCUACGGAGAAUGAUGCUGCAGA